GCGGACAUGGUGGAAUUGGUAGACACGCCAGACUUAGGAUCUGGUGGCGCAAGCUGUAAGAGUUCAAGUCUCUUUGUCCGCACCA
rnacentral:tRNA from 1 species